AUCGUUGUCCUUUCCCUCUUCCCGUGCUCUUCUCUCCUCUUCUCGUCGGCUUCGGUGUGAGAUCCACGAGCUUCCCUUCUCCGUCUCUCAGCUUCUCAUCCCUCAUCCUCUCGUGCUGAUCUACAACUCCAGUGCGCGCCAAUCAACAACUCCGCCGCCAUUAGCGUCCUCCAGCACAUCCUCGUGAAGUUCCACCCACUCAACUCCCUAAUCGCAGCGCCACGGUCUUGGUUUCUAGAGCUCUUCUCUCUUUCUCGUCCUCGCUGUCACUGUGCUCAGGGGUUUGUGAGUGCAACGAUCGGAGUGCGUGCUUGGGGGGCCUACAUCGGGGACUCCUGGGUGCCGUGUGCUUGCUUGGGUUGGGGCUAUUAUUCAUCGGGUUUGGAGUGGGCGUUCUGAUCUCCGGCGAGACGCAACACCGACGAGCGCUUCCCCGUUGAGAAGGGUUCACUGAAGACAUCUUCUAUUUCUUUGGUGUGAGUGAAGAUUUUGGAAUUUCUUUUGCACAAAGUCAUCAUUACUCGAACAAUUGAAGGGAAACCAUAUUUGAGGAAGAUCUUGGAGGCAAGAAGAGAGCAACAAAAAAAAAACUCAAGGAAGACAAUGGCCAAGAAGAGGGAACAAAGAAAUCCAAGGUAAUUCAAUGUAUGUUCAUGAUGACUUCUUAUUUCACUUUGUUUGUUGGUGACAAGUGUAUUGAUGGAUUAGAGAAUUGUUGAUGAUGGAUUUAUGGUUGUGAUGGAGUGUUGGAUCAUUUGUAUGGAUAAUUUGUAUUUUUGUUAUGAAUUGAAUGUUGGAUCAUUUGUGUGGAUUAAUUGUAUUUUGGUAUUUUUGGUAUGAUUGAAAAGAUGGAUUAUGGAUA